rnacentral:rRNA from 1 species
UACUAGAGUAGCACUCGCAUAUCAAUAAGCGGAGGAAAAGAAACUAACAAGGAUUCCCCUAGUAACGGCGAGUGAAGCGGGAAGAGCUCAAAUUUGAAAUCUUAAAGGGUUUCCCUUUACGAAUUGUAGUUUAAAGAAGUGUUUUCUGUUGAGGUUUUGGUAAAAGUUCUUUGGAAUAGGACAUCAUAGAGGGUGAGAAUCCCGUAUUUGACCUUUACUUUCAACUUUGUGAUACACUUUCAAAGAGUCGGAUUGUUUGGGAAUGCAGUCCAAAAUGGGUGGUAAAUUUCAUCUAAAGCUAAAUAUUGGCGAGAGACCGAUAGCGAACAAGUACCGUGAGGGAAAGAUGAAAAGAACUUUGAAAAGAGAGUUAAACAGUACGUGAAAUUGUCAAAAGGGAAGCGCUUGACACCAGUGUUGUUUUUCUGAAAAUCAAUUAAAGAACUGUUUAUGCUAAGCUGUUUAGACUUUAUCAGCUAUCUGUUUAGUUUUGAGCUUUUCUUUAAUGCACUUUUCAGUUAACAAGUCAACAUCAAUUUCUUUUGCUGUAAAAAAGCUUGAGGAAGGUGGCUUGAGAUUCGUCUUAAGUGUUUAUAGCCUCUUGCCUAUGCAGUCGGAGAGAUUGAGGUCUGCAGCGUAGAUCCUUCGGGGCUAAAUGCAUUUGUGCUAAGUUAUAGCAUUUUAUAGACAACUUGUUGACUAUGAUUUGUCUUGUAGCUUACUCGCUUAUGUUAUUUUACCUACGCUUAGGAUGUUGAACUACUGAGACAUAGA